rnacentral:rRNA from 1 species
CAGCCGUAAACUAUGCGCGUUAGGUGUAUCGGUGACCACGAGUUACCGAGGUGCCGAAGGGAAACCGUGAAACGUGCCGCCUGGGAAGUACGGUCGCAAGGCUGAAACUUAAAGGAAUUGGCGGGGGAGCACCACAACAGGUGGAGCCUGCGGUUUAAUUGGACUCAACGCCGGGAAGCUCACCGGAUAAGACAGCAGAAUGAUUGCCGGGCUGAAGACUCUGCAUGACUAGCUGAGAGAUGGUGCAUGGCGUCAGUGACU